rnacentral:rRNA from 2 species
GCACCUUCGGGUGUGUAUAAAGUGGCGAACGGCUGAGUAACACGUGGGCAACCUGCCCCUUUCAUUGGGAUAGCCACGGGAAACCGUGGAUAAUACCGAAUACUUCGGGACUUCCGCAUGGAAGACUCGAGAAAGCUCCGGCGGAGAGGGAUGGGCCCGCGGCCUGUUAGCUUGUUGGUGGGGUAACGGCCUACCAAGGCAAUGAUGGGUAGCUGGGUUGAGAGACCGACCAGCCAGAUUGGGACUGAGACACGGCCCAGACCCCUACGGGAGGCAGCAGUGGGGAAUCUUGCACAAUGGGCGAAAGCCUGAUGCAGCGACGCCGCGUGCGGGAUGAAGGCCUUCGGGUUGUAAACCGCUUUCAGCAGGGACGAGGCGAAAGUGACG